AUACUUACCUGGCAGGGGCAAUACCAUGAUCAAGAUGGUGGUUUGCCCAAAGCGAGGCUCAGCCAUUGCACUCAGGCUGUGCUGACCUUUGCGAAUUCCCCAAAUGUGGGAAUCUCGACUGCAUAAUUUCUAGGGUACUUCAUUUGAUGAUCUUCUUU